rnacentral:rRNA from 1 species
UAAGGAAUAUUGGUCAAUGGGCGAGAGCCUGAACCAGCCAUGCCGCGUGCAGGAAGAAGGCCUUAUGGGUUGUAAACUGCUUUUGUCAGGGAAUAAAUCUAUGUACGAGUACGUAGUUGAAGGUACCUGAUGAAUAAGCAUCGGCUAACUCCGUGCCAGCAGCCGCGGUAAUACGGAGGAUGCAAGCGUUAUCCGGAUUCAUUGGGUUUAAAGGGUGCGCAGGCGGAUAUAUAAGUCAGUGGUGAAAUGCAACAGCUGAACUGUUGAGCUGCCAUUGAUACUGUAGUUCUAGAGUGUAAUUGGGGUAAGCGGAAUAUGUCAUGUAGCGGUGAAAUGCUUAGAUAUGACAUAGAACACCGAUCGCGAAGGCAGCUUACCAAGCUACAACUGACGCUCAUGCACGAAAGCGUGGGGAUCAAACA